rnacentral:rRNA from 1 species
AACCCUUAUCUUAAUUGCCAGCAUUCAGUUGGGCACUUUAAAGAGACUGCCGGUGUUAAACCGGAGGAAGGUGGGGAUGACGUCAAGUCCUCAUGGCCUUUAUGCUUAGGGCUACACACGUGCUACAAUGGGUGGUACAAAGAGAAGCCAACUCGCGAGAGCGCGCCAAUCUCAAAAAGCCAUCCUCAGUUCGGAUUGGAGUCUGCAACUCGACUCCAUGAAGUUGGAAUCGCUAGUAAUCGCGGAUCAGCAUGCCGCGGUGAAUACGUUCCCGGGCCUU